rnacentral:rRNA from 1 species
CCUACGGGAGGCUGCAGUGAGGAAUAUUGGUCAAUGGGCGCGAGCCUGAACCAGCCAAGUAGCGUGAAGGAUGACUGCCCUACGGGUUGUAAACUUCUUGUAUAAAGGAAUAAAGUGAGGCACGUGUGACUUUUUGUAGGUACUUUAUGAAUAAGGAUCGGCUAACUCCGUGCCAGCAGACGCGGUAAUACGGAGGAUCCGAGCGUUAUCCGGAUGUAUUGGGUUGAAAGGGAGCGUAGAUGGGUUGUUAAGUCAGUUGUGAAAGUUUGCGGCUCAACCGUAAAAUUGCAAUUGAUACUGGCAGCCUUGAGUACAGGUGAGGUAGGCGGAAUUCGUGGAGUAGCGGUGAAAUGCUUAGAUAUCACGAAGAACUCCGAUUGCGAAGGCAGCUUACUAAACUGCCACUGACAUUGAUGCUCGAAAGUGUGGGUAUCAAACAGGAUUAGAUACCCUAGUAGUC